rnacentral:tRNA from 1 species
AAGGAUUUAAGUUAAAAAAUUAAACUAGUAACCUUCAAAGUUUCAAAAAAAGAAAUUUCUUUAAGCCUUA